UAGCCUGUCUGCGCCAGAUCCCCAUCUAGUAAUGUCAAAUCAUUACUUGAAUGCUCAGAAUCGCUCGUGUCUAUAAGUCCGGCUAUAUCAAAAUCGUAUGGUCAACUAUCUAAGAAAAUGAUCUAGAG
rfam:Populus trichocarpa scaffold_1_contig_106, whole genome shotgun sequence.